rnacentral:rRNA from 1 species
AUGACGCGGUCGGCNAGGCUUACACAGCCAAGUCGUUGAAGGUAACAUUAUCUAGCUUGCUACAACGAUGACUUAGCGGCAGGACUGGGUGAGUAAUACUUCAGGGAAUCUACCUUAGUAUUGGGGCGAUAGCUCUGGGGAAACUCGUAUUAAUACCGCAUACGUCCUACGGGAGAAAGGGGGCAACUUGUUGCUCUCGCUAUUAGAUGAGCCUAACGUCGGAGAUUGAUGCUAGAUGUGUGGGGUAAGAGGCCUACCAUGGUCGACGAUCUGUAGCUGGUCUAGAGAGGAUGAUCAUGCCACAGCGGGACUGANACGACGGCCCGGACUCCUACGGGAGGCAUCAGUGGNGGAAUAUUGGACAAUGGGGGAAACCCUGAUCCANCCAUGCCGNGUGUGUGAAGAAGGCCUUUUGGUUGUAAAGCACUUUAAGCAGUGAAGAANACUCUUCGGUUAAUACCCGGAGACGAUGACNUNAGCUGCAGAAUAAGCACCGGNUAACUCUGUGCCAGCAGUCCGCGGUAAUACAGAGGGUGCAAGCGUUAAUCGGAAUUACUGGGCGUAAAGCGAGCGUAGUGGCUUGAUUAAGUUCAAAUGUUGAAAUU